UAGACUUGACAUCCCGAGCAAAACUAUAGAGAUAUAGUGGAGGUUAUCUCGGUGAC
rnacentral:rRNA from 1 species